ACAUGCUUACAACAUAGUGUUAAUGCACCGGAUGCCAUUAGAAAUCCGCAGUUAAACGCGCUCAAGAUAGAGUAGUACUGGGAUGGGUGAUCGCCCGGGAAGUCCUAGUGUUUUACAUGCC
rnacentral:rRNA from 1 species